AAUCACACUCCAACAUCACCAUCUCCAUGAAGCCUUCUAGACUCCCCUGACACGCAACUGUUCACUCCUCUGCACCUCCAAACUGAUUUUUUUUAACUUCUUCAUAAAACUGGCCACAUCAUCAAAGUCACAAGAUGAUGAACCCUCUGUUUAUGGAAUAAUAAGAUCUCAAUGCCUGUGUUAUUGUCUGUAAGGUUCUUGAGGGCAAAAGAAGGAAAAAAGAGGAAAUGAGAAUGUUGGUGAUGAUGGGGAACAAGGGGGACUAUUGGGGAAGCAGAAUCACAAUCACAGAAUUCUGGAGCUGGAUGGGGCCCUGAGAUGAGCAAGUCAAAAAAUAAAAAUCAAAACAAAAUCAACCUAAGUAAUCUGAAAAAUAUGAAUCUGAAGUGUCUUCAGUGAUCUUUUUAACUAGACAAACUCUUUGGAAGAUGAAAAUCAAUAUCAAGAGGAACUGUAAAGCUUUCAAAAUGUAUUGGAAAAGUUUCAAAGGAGAUGAAAAGCAUAAAUUGUUUUGUAAACCUGAAGAAAAUUCUAACUUAUUCCUGGAAGCCAGUGUAUAUGAUGCCUGAAAGGCCAAGACUAAGAAAUAUGGAUUUUACACUGAAAAAAUAUAACAGCCUCAUCAACUACAGCUUCAUGGUAUAGAACAAAGGGAGCCUGGAACCAAGAAAUGCUAUAGUAUCAUCUUGGGGAUAUGUGCAUUCUUAAUACCCAUUGUUGCACAAAAGAAGAAAAUUCUCACACAAAACAGACUGAGAGAAGAAGGUUUGGGCCAAAUCCCAGACCAAGGCAACCUCAACAACAGCUGACAAUUCUUGCAAAAAGUUUUCUUCAGGCCAAGAGAGUAACAGGACUCCUUACUGUUUCCCUUAGCAUCUCACCAUUCAAUGCAUUCAAUUAGUCAUUCAGUAACCAUUUUGAGCUCCUAUUACAUGCCCUUCACUUUUCAGGGUACUUGAGAUCAGUGGUAAAGGUCUCUGAUAUCAUGGAACUGACAUUCUACUGGGAGAAAAUUGACAAUAAAAAAGUAAACAAGUAAGUAAAAGAGAAAAUACAUGGGGAUAAAUGCUUUAAAGGAGGUCUACAGAGUGACGUGAUAGAGAGGGAUGGGAAGGGGCUAAGAGGUGAUUCAUAUGAUUGGGAAUCAGGGAAGUUUGGCAAUGGAGCUGAGACCUGAACACAAGAAGGAGGCAGCUAUACCAAAAUCUGAGGGCAGAGCAUUCCGGGCAACGGGAGUUAGCUUAAUGAGUUAGUGAACAGCAAGAAAGUCAGUGUGGCUGGAGGUUAGUUAGGAGGGGAGAAGAUCAGAGAAGUCAGGAGGACCGAACCAUAGGGCCUUGUAGGGAGAGUAAGGAGUUUGAAUCUAUUCUGACUGCAGUGGAAACCACUGAAGAGUUUUAAGAAAAAGAACUGUAUGACCUGAUUUAUGUUUUUUUUAAAGUCCACCUUGCUUGCUGUGUGAAUAAUGGAUUGUAGGGAGAUAAGAGUUGAAAUAGACUAUUGCCAUAGAAUAGGCAAAAAUGAUGACAGCAUGGGUAGGGUGAUAUUGAUGUACAAGUAGAGAAGUGGAUGGAUUUAUAUGUUUUAAAGGUAGACCGGACAGGGUAUGAUGAUGAAUUGGACAAGCAAACUGAACAAAUGAGAAGAAUCAUAUUGAUCUUGGGCUUAGCAACAGGGUAGAUGGUGGAGCCAUUUACUAAGAUGCAGAGGACCAGCAAAACAGUUUGGGGAAGGAUUUAAGAAUUCUGUUUUAUCCACGUUGAGUCUGAAUGCCUAUUAGGCAUCCAAAUGGAAAUUUGAAAGAGGCAGUUGAUGUAUACAAGUUUGGAACUCAAUGGAGAGGCCAGGCCCAAUGCAUAAACUCAGCGGCAUAUAUUUAAGUCCAUGGGACCUGAUGGAAUCUCCUAGGGAGAGAGAGUUAAAGAAGGAUGAGGAUGAAAUCCUGGGACACUGCAACAUGUAAAGGUAAAGCAGAAGUAGGAGCCAGCAAGAGACCAAGAAGGCAUAUCCAGUGAGUUAACAACCAUCCCAAGAAAGCAUGGUGUCACAGAUGUCAAAGAAGAAAGUGUUUUUAUAAAGGAGUAAUCAACUGUCAACUGCUACCAAAAGGAUGGCCAAGAUAAACACAACCACAUGCUCUCCACAUCUGUAUCAUUGCAGCUAUAAUCACUACCAUCAGCAUCAUCAUUAUGACAACCAACAGUUGUCAAGCACUGCCUAUGUGCCAGGCACUACACCAAGAACUUCACUGCACUAUCUAAUUGAAUAUUCACAAUAGCUCUUAUUAGAUAAAAUCUUUUAUCAUCCUUGUUUUAGAUAUUAACAAACUGAGAUAUAGAGAGAUUAGUUUACAUUCUAUGUGCGCUGGAGUUUAAUCAGAACCUAGAAAGUCAGACCUAGGGUUCAGUUCCUAUCCUGUACCCCACAUCAGUGCCAAUCCAAGUGUUGUCUGCAUACCAUACAGGAACUAUUUGUUACUGGAUUGUAAUGAGACAAAUACAGAAAUAAAGAGUAAGCAUUUAGAAACACUUAUAGCGAUUCAACAUUGGCCACAACAUUCAAAAGAGGUGAUGUGAAAGUAUAGGUCCACAAUGGAUUGGAAAAUUAAAAAAAAUUAAUAACAAAUCCUUUACCACAGAUAUCGUGAGAGGCUCUUCUGUACUUUCUUAACAAUCCCUCACAAACUCCCAAAAGAUAAGAGCUUCUUCAAUAACUCUUUCUUGGCCCAAAUAAGACCCCAUAGCUGCUGAUCCAGAAGGACUGUGAGGGGCUAAACUGGUCACUUAUCUCCUGGUCAAUUGUCCUCCAUUUAAUCACCUAUGAUUGCAAACACUUAGGUCACUGUAAUAUGCAGUGUUGGGGACCUGGGGUAAAACAAGGAAAUCUUUGAACAAAAAAGUACUUGUUCUUGUAGAUGCACAAAAGUGGUCCAGAGUGCACUUGUACAGUGAUCUUAAUGACCUGGAUAUUGACAGCCUGAGCUUCAUUCCAGUUUAUUUUCCAGAACUGAUAGAUAUGACCAGUUUCUCAUGUUUGAAAGCAUAGAGGGAGCACAUAGUUAGAAGGGUCAAGGAGGGCAGGGUGUGGCUAUAAAAGGAAGGCAACCACCUGUCCAUCCUCUUAGGAUCUCUGAUCAUUAAUGCCAGAAAGCUUUUUUUGAUUCUUCACGUGACUUUCAGAAGAUCACAAGAACAUGGUAUCUCUUCUAUGUCUUAACUACCACCUGAUUCUUUAUUAUAUUCCAUCUUGUAUAAUAUCUAUUUGAAGAUUUGUCUUUUUCCUGCUUUUAACCUUUAAGUGACUGUGUCUUACUAAUUGUUUUCUUCCCAGUUCCUCACAAAUAAUAGAUGCUCAGUAAAUGAUAAAUUCCCUGAGGUUGGUUUUGGCUUUAUUAGACAAAUACUCCAGUUACAGGUAUAGUUACGGUACCUAAAUAAUAUAAUUGGUUUUUUUUUUGGUGGGUAAAUGGCAAACCUUCAAGAAUUUCUGCACUCUCUGUGCUUUGCAAAAGAAUAGAUUCCCAGCAUCCAUCCAAAGUCUGGCAUAAAGUAGAUGCUCAAUGAAGCCUGUUGAAUGCAUUUGUUCUAGUUUGCUAAUGCUGCCAGAAUGCAAAACACCAGAGAUGGAUUGGCUUUUAUAAAAGGGGGUUUAUUUGGUUCCACAAUUACAGUCUUAAGGCCAUAAAGUGUCCA